UGACAGGUGGUGCAUGGUUGUCGUCAGCUCGUGUCGUGAGAUGUUGGGUUAAGUCCCGCAACGAGCGCAACCCUUAAGCUUAGUUGCCAUCAUUAAGUUGGGCACUCUAAGUUGACUGCCGGUGACAAACCGGAGGAAGGUGGGGAUGACGUCAAAUCAUCAUGCCCCUUAUGAUUUGGGCUACACACGUGCUACAAUGGACAAUACAAAGGGCAGCGAAACCGCGAGGUCAAGCAAAUCCCAUAAAGUUGUUCUCAGUUCGGAUUGUAGUCUGCAACUCGACUACAUGAAGCUGGAAUCGCUAGUAAUCGUAGAUCAGCAUGCUACGGUGAAUACGUUCCCGGGUCUUGUACACACCGCCCGUCACACCACGAGAGUUUGUAACACCCGAAGCCGGUGGAGUAACCUUUUAGGAGCUAGCCGUCGAAGGUGGGACAAAUGAUUGGGGUGAAGUCGUAACAAGGUAGCCGUAUCGGAAGGUGCGGCUGGAUCACCUCCUUUCUAAGGA
rnacentral:rRNA from 1 species